CUUGCCUGUGUUGGUCAGAAGCAUAGAGAGGCUUGGUUAAUUGUCAGUUUAUCUUACAGUGAAUUUAGUAAAGGUUUCAAUUUUUCUGGUUAGUCAUGUUUAUGUAGUGGAAUAUUGUUCCUUUGUUGAACUGAAGAAAUUCUAAUAUACAAUAUGAGUGGUUUUUAUUGCUGUUUCUGUAAGGUAGUAAAAGGUGUUCAAGACUCCUUUCCAGACAUCGUCAGCACAGCUGAAAAACCUCCUGGAAAGCACAACGCUGCAGAAGGGUCCUGAGGAAGGUUACAACAAUGUUCUGCGAGAUGUGGGAUCUGGUGGGCUGCCUGCUUCCAGUGACCUGGGGACCCUGUCAGGUUCUGACAGAGGUGGAAAAACCCAAAUGACGCUAUGAAUUCCCCAUCCUCUAAAUACCAGGUGCCUCCUGAAGGGCUGCUGUGCAGCAGAUAGCUGCCCUCGCAUCCAGGGAGAAGGCAGCUGCUGACUACUGGCAUGUGUGCGUCCCAGGAGCGGUGCCAAAGCGGGUCUCCUUACCACAGAAGCAGCCUCAGAGGCACUAGGUGGCUGCACAGCACGGCGCGGCUGGCAGGCAGGAUGAGGUGGUUCGCCUCAGAAAGCAUCUGGGGAGCUGGUGGUCCAACCACUGAUUAUGAGUCACGUUCUGCUUCCAGAUUGAAUGGAUGUUUUAUUUGCUUCAAGUCUUGCAUGUGGCUCUUGCUCUUUUGAUGGUGUUUGAGAGAAAAUGGCCAAUCAGCUCUUCUGUCAUCUGCCACCCCUUCGAUAUAGCAUUAGAUAAACAUGGUUGAGAUAGUUUAAUAUCCUCUCUGCAAAGUUCCUCCUAUAUUGUAUGAAAGCAGGCAAGUUUCUCAGGAAUGACAACUCAAUGACCAACAUCACCAUGACAAUCUGUUGUCACGCAAGUAUUGCAUCUCACUAAGAAGUGAAUUAAGCAACUGAUGGAACCAAUUAACAGCCUUAAAAUGUAAGAACUGGCAUAUAAACUGCUGCCUGACAAAAGCAGCAUUGCACCAUUUUUGGAAGAGCAGAACUUCUUCCCUCUCCCUGCUAGUUCCACUUUAUAGAAACCUAAAGAAAGACUGGUAAUACCACUAGAGAAAUAAGGGAUCCAUCUACUAAAUUUAUUUCCAGAAUUAUUCUUAACAUCAUCUCCACAAAUCACUCAGAGUCCAAACCCAUACAUGAAACUAGGAUCAGGAGCAGUGCCUGUCCUGGGCACUGCACAUCUUGAGUGGACGCUCAGUCGAGUCUCUUCCCUCACAAGCUAAUCCAAAAUAACAGUGUUUCAAAGGGCCUGGGGGAAGAAUCCCUUUUCAGAUAAUUAAUACAAAGUGUUCAAAAAAAAAAAAAUCCCUUCUCUUUACAAAUGCCAUCCCAUCCCCCUCCAGAAAGCAUUACUCUGACAUCUGCUACUGCUGCUACACUCUGCCUGUUAUUAUUUGUCUUAGAGCCUCUGCCCAUUCUUUUGCUUCUACAGCUGCUGCUGGUGUUUCCUCUUGGUGUUUCCUGCCUGCCUGGCCUAAAUUCCAUCUGACACCCUCUUGCCCCUCUGGCUUUCUGCCCGGCUGGUUAAGAUGGCAUUCAGUUGACUUGCAGUGCUCCUUUCUGCAGUAGGAACAUAAAAUAAUAUUUGGGUUUAAUUUGCUUUUUGAAGAGCUCUUCAAGAUCCUUUCAUGAAGGUAAUACAUUAUUUCUUCAUACUGACCCUUCAGUUUGAUCUUUGAUCUGUGGAGAAUCCUGUACACGCGUGAGAAUUGUCAAUGACUGUCAGGACUGCAAAGAAACUUGUGGUAAAUUUCCUUCUUCAAAAACCAUGUCAGGUUGGGCUGGCAGGGGGAAUUGUCGGAGUAGACAAUUUUGUCCUUUCUCUUCAAAAGUAUCGCAGCCAAAAUGACAGCACAAUCUUCCUCUGGCAGCAUCACUGGUAUCUCUGUGGUUUAUAUCCAUUUGCAACUUGAGUGAGAAACAAAUUGAAGAGUCCAGGCUAUGCGUGCUUGUUCUUUGUCCUUGGUCUAUCUCUUAAUUUCUUAGGGGCUAGCAGUUGUCUGGACCUUUCCAUCAACAAAGACAACAGUUGCAGACUUAUAAGGGAGAAGAGGCAAGUAGCUGAAAAUGCAUUGUUAUUCCCCUUUGUCACCCUACAUUUGUCAAAUUUAAGGCAUUUCAAAAUAUAGUACUCAGUUUAAUCACAAUAUGGAUGACAUGGACAAGAUCUUUGGGUUUUUAGAACUGACAGGUGAGCAAUGGACUGCUCAAAGGUGAGGCACAUUCAUAUGUGUUCAGAGCUCAUGGCAAAAACUUACCUCCAUUCUGCUGCUCACUAAGUUUUUCCAGCAUUAUUAGAUUACCUAGGAGAGCAUUCUUGCCUUCUGUACUAGAACUGGUCUCUGCCAACUGGCUGUAGGUGGGGAACCUACUGAGCUAGACUAUUUGGGAAUUACAACUUUUUCUUUCCUGUUCUGAAACUGCCACCUGUUGAAACUGCCACCUGUAUUUUAUUCACGGAGAAAAUAGCCUUCUAAUAUAAUAUUAUAUUUUCAAUUGCAAAAUAGCAUUUAUCACAUCUAUUUGUUUUAAUUUGGAACCAAAAUAAAUCCUGGAGGAAGAAUUAACCUAACUACACAUCAAGCAGUAUGAUGUUAGCUCAUGCACAGAAAACAAUAGCUUUCUAAAAUGGGGUGAAGCACUACAUUCAUGAUUUGAUGCUCCCCACUUGUCUGUCGUCUAGAUGCUGAGUAUCUGUUUGCACUGGAUCGUUAAAGAUGAUAUCUUCUGAAACAGAUAAAGCCAUGCAGUCUAUUAAACUUUUUAAUAAAGAUGAAAGCAUUUCCUCUGCAGCACACCAGGACCACUAGUACAGUACAGUAAGUGUGAUUCCAAACGUGAAGAGUGAUAUUCUGGUUGAUGCAUGGAGUCACAGAACUACGUUCCACAACUUUGUGGCCAAGGACGUAUCUCCCAAACUAAAAACUGAAGACUCAAAAAUCAUAGGGAAAUACCUGUGAAUGAAAAGGAAAUGAGCUGUUACCUCAUUCCUUUCGCCUGAACUGCCAAAACUACUUAGCUGUGUUGGAGGAGCUGAAUGCAAGAAAAGAGAGGGAUUUGAAAUGUGCAAAUACCAGAUUCUAUAAGGCAACUAUUUCCAGGUGGAGGGAACAGUCUGUUCAGAGACACAAGGUUUCUUUCAUGUACCUGGCCUUGAAUGACUAUUCCUUAAUAUUUUGAUUUUAUCCUGCCCACACCACAGUUAAGCAGUACUUAAAACGUUCUUAAGACUAAGAAAGUAAUGAAAGAGAAAAAUAAAUUUGAAUUUAAGGGGCAAAAAUUUGUUGUACCUUCCAAAACAUAAUCAAUAUGUAAUUUUGGGUCAAUACAAUGUACUGGAGAAGAGAAGGGGAAAAAAAAAAAAAAAAAAAAAAAAAGCUAGACAUUAAGAGGACCAGGACUGCUAAAUGCUGUCUUGUCGCACAGUGCAUAUUCCUUAAAUCCACAUCUGCCAUAAUGAGAUUUCUAACACUAUAUAAGAAAAACAUAUUGCAAUGAAAAUAUCUUAGGUUUUAGGAACGUUGACUAAAAACCUGAAAACGUAUUGUUUGAUAAUAGUGCACUGCAAUCCUAGAGAGAUGCUUCUGGUGAAUUUUCACCAAAGCAUUUCUUGGUGACUUUCCUACUCCUUCAUUUAAAGUGCUCUUGAGCAGCGUUAUAAGCAUCAGAAGUAGAUGCUACACAGAAACUAUUUUGUCUAUUCCAAAUAAGUAAGAACAAGUAUAAGAGGGGUUAAUCUGAACUUUUGGUUCAUUCUUAGCUGGUGUCUUGGGAGAAGGCUUGACGAUCUUAACUUGACACCUGUAUAUAUAUUUAUUUUUAUUGGAACAUAGAAUUACAUUGGAUUUUAAGUGAUUCCGUUUAGUUUGUAAAAUGAUAUGUUGUUUACAUUGAUUCUUCUGGUUUAUUUUCAAAAUGUUGUUACAGUGAGUUCUUAAAUAUUUUAAUUAGCAGCACAUUAAAAAAUACUGUUUUCAAGGAAUUAAGUCAUUUAGAACUAGUUAAUGCCCUUCUGUAUCACUUUAACCUGAAUCUAGGCUGCUAAUCCCAUUGAAUAACAAAAAUAAUGAAUUUACCUCCCUCGUUGUGCACUCAGAAAGAUGCUCUCUAGUAGAGUGGACCUUGAAUGUCAGUCAAAAAAGGAAAAUCUAACUUCUAAUAAAUUCCUAAAAUGUAAAUUAACUCUGCUAAAGUGUCAAUCAUGUAGACAAGUGGAAUAUCAGAAAUUCCUCUGAUUUCUGUUCCUUAUAACAUCUCUGGUGAUGUCCAAUAACAUACUCUAAGAAAGUCCCUGGCAUAGUAUUAAAAAAAAAAAAAGGCUUUUUUUUCCCCCAUAUUUCUAAAAACAUUCAGCUUUCUUAAUAUUGUUGCAUGGAAUUUAACAUGAUUUUUAAAAACUAAAAAAUGUCUCCAAACAAUCCCCAAAGCCUCAGCUCUUUUUUCAUUGUUUUUAUUUAACAUAUUAUGUCAGAUUUUUGAGAUCCCAAAAGCAUGUCGGCAUAUAAAAAUGCAUAAUUUACAGCACUGUCUGCAGGUGUGGCCACUCAGAAAUCUCUUUCAGAAAGCUGGGCACAAUUUGUACACAGAGCUGGGCUUCUGUCUGACCACAUCAUACUCUGCCUUCUGGGUAGAGGUCCUUCUUCUUCCAUUUUCUCUUCUCCAUGGCUUUCCCCUCAUUGUCCUUGAGCUCAGUGCAGGUUUUGCCUCUCCAUCCAAAUCUGUUCUGAGCUGCACCCACACCUGUAUAAUUGCCUGGCUUGCUCCUUUCUUGGCCCCACAGUUGCUGGAUUCUCUUUUUCAAGUUAGUCCUUUUAUACGCUGAACAUCUACGAUGUGGUGACUAAUGACUGCAGUCCUUCUUCGUGUUUGAUCUCUAAGCUGAAACCAAGCUGUGAUACUGAUUGAAAUCCUCCUCUCUGCCUCAUCCUCCAUUCUUAGCAAAGUGAACCUGUGGUGUCAACACAGGGUUUCUAACAGAAAUGUUUGAAAGAAGGAAUGAUCGUGAACAAAUGAGAGCAUCUUCUGUUGCCUGUACUGCUCUCUGGCCUCUUCCCACCCUCCUCCCUUUGCACAGAGAGGGAUAGUCCCACGCCUGUGGGUUACAAAUUGCUCCCUGGCACAGCCACUGUCUCCUUCUCCUGGCACUGCUGAGAGCCAGGUGACUGGUAUUCGGCAUCAGAUGCCUAAAACCUGUUGGUCUUUCACAUCACCUAGAUCUGCUGAAGGCUUGUUCCCUGUUUCAGCUGCUUGCUGAUUCUUCCUCUGUGGUCCCAGUGGAAAUGCAGUUUUCCCACCCAGAGUCUCCCAGAUUAGGAAGCACAGACUCAAAGCUCCCAACUUCAAAUAGCUCCACUAUUUCCUGCUGCAAUUCAAAACUGCCCUUCUUGUUUGUAAGGCCUCUCCCCAGGAUUUCUUGAGCUAACUCCAGCCUCACUAAACAACCUCCUCUCUUUGCUCUCCUCUGUUCAGCUAAAGUGGCCUUCUCUCUGACCCUGUUGCUUCUGCCACCUGGAGCAGCCUUCCUGUGUCUUGCUGCCUUUCUGACUCACCACCUUCUUUUCAAAUGCCAUGUGAAAGCCUAUAGUUUCAACCUUGCCUUGUAACAACCUGGAGCAGCUUAAGGAAAACAACCUCUGGCUGUUAUCCAAAGAGGGUUCAAUAAUUAUUUCUCUAACCCUCCUAAAAUAAAAAGGUUGGCCACCAAAAACAAACAAAAGGAGGACCCCACACACAUCAUUGGCUAUUUUUGAUCGGAAAAGUGAAAAUUAAAUAAGACCUUAACAAAUUACUCUGCUGUGUGGCAAAUAGAAAAGUACAAAAAUA